AGAUCCAUGCACAGAUGAACUCUUCCGUGUGUAGUUCUGUCCUGGUUGCUUGGCAGGAAAGGUCGUUCAUUACCUUCAAGGAUCAGAUGUUGUGAGAUUACUUUCAAUUAUGGGCAAUGAAUAUUGGAGUUGCCAUGAACUCACAAAACAAGGGAUGAGCAAAUGCAAAGGCAGAUCUUUCCUCUUCACAGAAUGCAGUAUAUGAAAACGCCGUUAUGGAUCUCCACAGAAAAGAUCAAAUGGGCUUUGGGUCUUCCAUUAAGAUGCUACCAGAAAGCACAAGACUAAUCUGGCAGAUUGUACAGUACUAAUGUUGCUUACUGGCAUAAAAUCAUCAGCUUCAGGGGCUUAACAAAUAUGAUGUAAUGGACCAUUCCCACAUCAGCAGAUCAUCAUGUGAAUUCCAUACAUUUACUGGUAAGCAGUUAACCAUGUGAGUGAAAUUUCAAUAGAUGGUAGUAUGCAUGAUAUUGUGGCUGUGAUUGUCCAGAAAUUACAUCAGAGGCAAGAAUUUCUUAGGCUGGUAUCUUUUAUUGGAACAACUAUGUAGUUGGGAUAGUUAGGUAAGCUUUCAAAUGGA